UACGUAGGUGGCAAGCGUUGUCCGGAUUUACUGGGCGUAAAGAGCGCGCAGGCGGUCAGAUAAGUCGAAUGUGAAAGCCCCCGGCUCCAACUGGGGAGGGUCAUUCGAUACUGUUCGACUCGAAGGCAGGAGAGGGAUGCGGAAUUCCAGGUGUAGCGGUGAAAUGCGUAGAUAUCUGGAGGAACACCGGUGGCGAAGGCGGCAUCCUGGACCAACACUGACGCUGAGGAGCGAAAGCCAGGGGAGCAAACGGG
rnacentral:rRNA from 1 species